rnacentral:lncRNA from 1 species
AUAUGUCACGCAUGUGAUUGGAUGCAUCGAAAGUGAACGCUAAACCAACCAUUCUCCUUAUAUUUGCGGCACUAUAGCUCACCAUUAUCCAACCGGUGAAGGUGUCUCUAAGCCCCAUGGAGCACUCCACUCCCAAGAUCCUCCUCUCCCUCUCAUUGAUUGCUCUCCUCUUCUCGGCUUUCGUCGUUUCUCCAUCUCACUCAAGGAAGAUCUCAGGCUGCAGUCACCCAACCACAGGUAUAUAUAUAUAUAUAUCUAUUCAUCCUCUUAAUUCGUCUAGUUACUGCCUUCAACAAAGGUUUUCCUUUCUGAUGGGAAGAAAUUAUAGCAUGAAAUAUAUGGGGUGAUUGUUUCAUAUAGGUGGAGAUGUUGCAGUGAGCUCACGAGGGCUUGCGAGGAUGGCCAGGGAGGCCGCGUUAGCGCCACCUUCGCCUACUGCCAAUAACAGGGACCCUGGUUCUGGUUGAGGCAUGGAGCUUCUUCCUCAUGGAUUUGCGUGUCCUUUGGGAGUAUCUACCUCAUGGUUUCACCUAUUGUCACUAUAUUACCUCUAGUCUGUGUCUCUUCUAAGUAUGGAAGCUUGAAGUUGGAGGAUUUGUCUAAUAAAAGGAUAUUAAUUUGGGGUGUAAUUAUUGUUGUGAAUUUGAUGGUCUUACUGAGUAGCUGUGACCUAUAUUUAUGAAAUAGAUGAACGGAGAAAUAUGUAUGUCAUAAAAUAAAAGUAAUUUUUCUCUCUCUUUC